rnacentral:rRNA from 1 species
UAGGGAAUCUUCGGCAAUGGACGAAAGUCUGACCGAGCAACGCCGCGUGAGUGAAGAAGGUUUUCGGAUCGUAAAACUCUGUUGUUAGAGAAGAACAAGGACGUUAGUAACUGAACGUCCCCUGACGGUAUCUAACCAGAAAGCCACGGCUAACUACGUGCCAGCAGCCGCGGUAAUACGUAGGUGGCAAGCGUUGUCCGGAUUUAUUGGGCGUAAAGCGAGCGCAGGCGGUUUCUUAAGUCUGAUGUGAAAGCCCCCGGCUCAACCGGGGAGGGUCAUUGGAAACUGGGAGACUUGAGUGCAGAAGAGGAGGGUGGAAUUCGAUGUGUAGCGGUGAAAUGCGUAGAUAUAUGGAGGAACACCAGUGGCGAAGGCGGCUCUCUGGUCUGUAACUGACGCUGAGGCUCGAAAGCGUGGGGAGCAAACAGG